rnacentral:misc_RNA from 1 species
AAAGUCGUAACAAGGUAACCGUAGGUGAACCUGCGGUUGGAUCAUUAAUGAAUUUGGGUUGAGUGGCUGUUGCCCUCGAUCGUCAACACCUUGUGAAUUGUAAUUGUAUUUGGCAAGUGAUGCAGCAGCUCGCUGCAGAAUUUCGCACCCCCCCCUCCCCUCUUGCCUUGCGGUUAGCUAGGGAGAGUGUGGGGUGGGGGGGAAAGCUUGUCCGUGUACCUAGACCAUAUUAUGCAUUUUAAUCCUGAAUAAUAAAUAAGCGAAAUACUGAAACAACUUUUGGCAACGGAUCUCUUGGCUCUC